rnacentral:rRNA from 1 species
ACGCCGCGUGAACGAUGAAGGCCUUCGGGUCGUAAAGUUCUGUUGUCAGGGAAGAACAAGUACCGGAGUAACUGCCGGUACCUUGACGGUACCUGACCAGAAAGCCACGGCUAACUACGUGCCAGCAGCCGCGGUAAUACGUAGGUGGCAAGCGUUGUCCGGAAUUAUUGGGCGUAAAGCGCGCGCAGGCGGUUCCUUAAGUCUGAUGUGAAAGCCCCCGGCUCAACCGGGGAGGGUCAUUGGAAACUGGGGAACUUGAGUGCAGAAGAGGAGAGCGGAAUUCCACGUGUAGCGGUGAAAUGCGUAGAGAUGUGGAGGAACACCAGUGGCGAAGGCGGCUCUCUGGUCUGUAACUGACGCUGAGGCGCGAAAGCGUGGGGAGCGAACAGGAUUAGAUACCCUGGUAGUCCACGCCGUAAACGAUGAGUGCUAAGUGUUAGAGGGUUUCCGCCCUUUAGUGCUGCAGCAAACGC